rnacentral:rRNA from 1 species
GCGUUGUUUCCAUCGCUCUACCAUGCAGUCGACGCUGAGCUCAGCUUGCUGGGUGGAUGAGUGGCGAACGGGUGAGUAACACGUGGGUAAUCUGCCCUGUACUCUGGGAUAAGCCUGGGAAACUGGGUCUAAUACCGGAUAGGACACAUCACCGCAUGGUGGUGUGUGGAAAGUUCCGGCGGUACAGGUUGAGCCCGCGGCCUAUCAGCUUGUUGGUGGGGUGAUGGCCUACCAAGGCGACGACGGGUAGCCGGCCUGAGAGGGUGACCGGCCACACUGGGACUGAGACACGGCCCAGACUCCUACGGGAGGCAGCAGUGGGGAAUAUUGCACAAUGGGCGCAAGCCUGAUGCAGCGACGCCGCGUGGGGGAUGACGGCCUUCGGGUUGUAAACCCCUUUCGCCCGGGACGAAGCGAAAGUGACGGUACCGGGAGAAGAAGCACCGGCCAACUACGUGCCAGCAGCCGCGGUAAUACGUAGGGUGCAAGCGUUGUCCGGAAUUAUUGGGCGUAAAGAGCUCGUAGGCGGUGUGUCACGUCUGCCGUGAAAACCUGCGGCUUAACCGUGGGCGUGCGGUGGAUACGGGCAUCACUUGAGUUCGGUAGGGGAGACUGGAAUUCCUGGUGUAGCGGUGGAAUGCGCAGAUAUCAGGAGGAACACCGGUGGCGAAGGCGGGUCUCUGGGCCGAAACUGACGCUGAGGAGCGAAAGCGUGGGGAGCGAACAGGAUUAGAUACCCUGGUAGUCCACGCCGUAAACGUUGGGCGCUAGGUGUGGGGCGCUGUUCACGUGUCCCGUGCCGUAGCUAACGCAUUAAGCGCCCCGCCUGGGAGUACGGCCGCAAGGCUAAAACUCAAAGGAAAUUGACGGGGGCCCGCACAAGCGGCGGAGCAUGUGGAUUAAUUCGAUGCAACGCGAAGAACCUUACCUUGGCUUGACAUGCAUCCAGACGACUCCAGAGAUGGGGUUCCCUUGGUG